GGAAGUAUAGCUAGUGGUAGAGCACUUACCUAUCAUGUAAAAGACCCUGGGUUCAAUCCCCAGUACUGUAA
rnacentral:tRNA from 1 species